rnacentral:lncRNA from 1 species
UAUAUGUAUUUGACUAAAUUCGGUAUAGGGGUUGCAUACAAAUAAGGUAGUGAUGUUAAGGAAGUGCAAGUGAUUUAAUGAAUUUGAUAAUGAAUGGUGAUUGGUUGAUAAAUCGUUAGAGAGAAGAAAAUUCGGGGAAUUUAUUCAAGUAUCGAGAAAUGGAGAUUCAAGAGAAAAUUUGAAAGUUGAGGAAUUAAGUGGUGACUUUGCAUUAGUUUAAUUGUUAUAUUUUAAUUUGAGUUAUUAUACUGUUAUUUCAGGUAAUGACGUGGAAGUUUGGAGAUGCCGGUUAAUUUAGCCAGAUUUUUAUCCAUAGAGCAGUGAGUGGAUAAAGUUUAUUCUCAGAAUUAAGUAUUCAUUAAAUUUAAAUUUCUUAUUUUAUAAAGU